rnacentral:rRNA from 1 species
GGACGGGUGAGUAACACGUGGAUAACCUACCUAUAAGACUGGGAUAACUUCGGGAAACCGGAGCUAAUACCGGAUAAUAUAUUGAACCGCAUGGUUCAAUAGUGAAAGACGGUCUUGCUGUCACUUAUAGAUGGAUCCGCGCCGCAUUAGCUAGUUGGUAAGGUAACGGCUUACCAAGGCAACGAUGCGUAGCCGACCUGAGAGGGUGAUCGGCCACACUGGAACUGAGACACGGUCCAG